CAUUGUAAUUCACACGCCUUAAUGUCAAAGUAAAGUUUUUAUCGAAUAUUUGGUAACACUUUAACAUUAACAUUAAUAAAUCCAUUAACUAACAUUAGGGAUGCACCGAAUAUUCGUCCAACGAAAAUUUUCCUAAAAUGGCAAAAAAGAGCAUUUUCGGAUUUUUGGCCGAAAGACUUUUAUCACCGAAACAAUACGGCCGAAAUGUUGUUAUGACGCAAAUAAAAAAACUGCGACCUGCACAUGCUUGUCCGAAGCAAAAUGUCUGCGGUGUGGAUGUAUUUAACUCUGUACGCACAGAGGCACAUGCGGUUGAAAUGUCCGGUCCAGACGUGAUCAUCACAGUAUGCCCUUCAAAGAUCAGAACUCUUAAUGUGUAAACUUUAGAGAGAGUCACCCUGUGUCUCAUACUGUAGUCCAAUAACAUACAUUUGGCGAAUAAAGCAAUGAAAAACAACGUAACAUUUUUAUGUGGAGCAACUGUUGCGCUGUUUGGGAUUCGCCCUCGGUCUCUGUGUGUGCAGCGCUCGCGUUUAAGUGCCCUCAAUAGUGCACGCGCGUUUAAGUGCCCUCAAUGGUCCACACACGAGAAAGACGUGUUUAAAAAACAAGCGAUCAUAAAAUCUUAUUAUGUUCGCCUAGCACAUAUAAAGAAAAUUACACUGUGAAUGCAAACAUGGUACUUACUUAAAAAUAGUAAAUUGACCUUAAUCAGUUUUUAUCAACCUGCUUUUAACACUUGCUUUUAGUGAGUUACUUGUACUUUGAGGUUGAAAAAUCUUACCAGCUCAGUCUUGAGCUGGAUUCAUAUAGAAAAAGUAAGUUUAUGACAUGUGGACAUGCGCAGAUCAGUCCUCUCUGAAAUGCCUAAACCCAACCAAUCAAGGUGCUUCGUGGGGCGGGUCUUGGCGUUGCGGGAAUCGUAAUUUUGCAGACGGUCGUUACAUGUCACCUCACCACAUGCUGCAACUGACCAGGUGGAGCUGGACCUAAACAUCGCUUCUACGGCACUUGUGAUUAUCUUCAGACGAUAUUCUUGUGCUUGGCACACUCAUUUGGUAAGUAAAUAUUUUACCCGUGUGCACACCGUUUUGUUUCUGUAAGUCAGCGCCAGUGUUUUGUGCUUGAUAUUCGUGUAGUAAUGUCUGCUUAACUAUAUUAUAGACAUAACGUGGCUAACGUUAUAUUUUGCUGAAACUUGGUCAAUACUUUAUUAAUUUUUCAAUCCACAACUUCCUCGGUGUUGAAAAUUGGUAACUUUUAAAGACUUCUGACACGUUAAAAUUCAGGAAUAACUUUAGUGUUAUGCGGCGCCGCAAGAAUCGACAGCCAAAAAACGUCAAAGUAUCGCGAGAGCGAGACGAAAUAAGAUUUCUUGAAUACUUCUCGCGAUAUUUUGACGUCAUCCGGCUGUCGGUUCUUACGGCGCCGUAUGAAGUCGAACAAGCCUAGUAAGGUAACUUUUGUCGAGUAACGUACUGACUAGCAUGAUGACAGACUGAUCCCGGUGGUUUGUGAGUUUCCUGAGCUUUAUAACAGAUUUUUAUAAGUUUAGGCAGAACAAGUAUAUAUCAUUUUAUUUUAAGCUAGGCUCAGAAUGCAUCACUGUUGGUGUCCUGACGGUUGUCAGUGAAGAUAGUCCUCACGAGGGUCAAAGCUUAGUGGUCCUCCAGCCCAUCUCCACUGCUAUCAUUCUGGAGGGAGGUAUUGUUAAGAACUUGCCUCAAGUCUUUUGUUUUGGGUUACAUAUGCAUUGCAUUUGGAUUACCCAAAAUGCAUGGCAAAUACACUCAACUUCAUUCAGACUGUGAUGCUUGGACUGGGAAAGAAAAACCUCCCACCAAAACGGUUGACUCUGAAGAACAGUCUUCUGGGUUAGAACAAUAAAGAGAUGUCAGAUAGCACUUUGUAAGCUUUGCAGCCAUUAAUGUUCUCCUGUUAUUAGAGACAGUUUGAUGCUUUCAUGCAACUGUAACUAUUCGUGAGUCAAAAACUGUAAUGUGAUCUGAACCGUGAGUUUUGUGAUCCGUCACACACCCCUAGUAAAGUUAGUACACAGUGAUAGCCAUAAAUGCAUUUGUACUAAUAAUUGGCAUAAUAAUUUCUUUCGGUGUUUCGAUUUUUCGGUUUCGGCCAAGAAUUUUCAUUUCGGUGCAUCCCUAACUAACAUGAACAAACAAUCAACAAUAGUUUUUCAGCAUGUAUUAAUUCUUGUUAAUGUUAGUUAAUGUCAAUACAACAUAAGUUCUAGAUGAGAGCUGAGUUGUCGUGGCAACCGUGACGCAUCAACAGUAAACAAAAGAGCAGCACCAAACUUUCAACUCUCUCAACUCUUCUCUUUUAUUGUAAAAGGAGGAGACCGGUAUACCCGGAGUAAACCCAAGCUGACACCGGAAGAACAUGCAAACCCCACACAGAAAGGCCAUCUGACCUUUUUUGCUGCCCUGUUUGACUCUCAUUAUAAAGAAGUAUCGGAUCGGGACUCGGUAUCGGCAGAUACUCAAAAUCAAAUGACUCGGAGGCAAAAAAACCUGAUCGGGACAUCCCUAAUCUGAAGUCAACAUGAAUCACGAGGCGCUCAAGCAUUUUGAACUCCUGCUGUCGUAACUCUCCUUUAAGAGCUGAGUGUUGAACUUUAUUGGACUUUUUUUAGCCUAAACUGUCAAAUGUGACUACUUAACUAAACAAUAAACUUCAGUCUUACUAAGUCUUCUUUGUGUGUUUGCAGUUAUGUUUUUUAACAUGUAUAAAAUACUGAUAAAACUAUAAAACUGCACACUUACCUUUAUA